AGGACUUCUUGUUUCAUUCAGUUGACUUUAGGUGAGAAACGAAGGACACAACACCAAUUCAUCAAUCCUUAGCCUUUCAAAACAUAGCAAACUGAACCAGGACCAACUCCGAACAAAUAAAAAGGAAAUGUAUACAAAACCAGCAGGCACGACUGAACAGAAUCAUAGCGCGCAAUACACCUCGAGAUCGAACCAACGACAAGUAUAACAUCUUAUAUCUACAGCAAAACAGGCCAUGU
rnacentral:misc_RNA from 1 species